GUUUGAGGUGUGGCUGGGAUUGGGAGUGGGUGGGCUCUGGCUUGGGCCCUGGUGGGUGAUCCCUCUGAUAGCCGUUGGCUUUCUCCGGCGGAACCCGGCUGGCUGCUGCCCCUUGGGCCAAGGUCAGUCACAAGGGGGGGCCGCCCCAGCUGCCCACUCCUCCUGACCCUGCAGCAGUCCUGAAGGGAGGGUCUCACCUGGGAGGUGAGGAAGAGCAACCCAGCAUGGGAGGCUGGGUCCAGGUGGGGGCAGCAGACUUGGGCCAAUGGCCCCUCUCCUCAGUGGCCGCAGUGACCUCACCCAUGCCACUAAGAGACAGGACUGAGACAGGGUCGGUGCUGCUGCCGAAACAUUCAGCACCCAAGGUCAGUGGGGCUGCUGGGCAGGCGUGCCCAAGACUCUUGUCGAGGUGGGGUGAAGGGGCCCAGCAGAGAGGAAGUCGUGCCGGCAGCCCAGGUCAACCCUGACGCACUCUGGCCUCAGUGUCGUAUCUGUGAAGUGGCAGUGAAGCCCUCCUGACCACUCUUGGGAGGGUUUGAAAGCUCACCCAGCUCACCUGUUAGGGGUGUCGCUCCUGCCCCAUCGUCCAGCCAGACUGGUCGGGGGUGGGGGGCGCUCCCAUGUGGACAAGCCCCCUUGCCCCGCCCACGCCAACAUCCGUCCACCGGGCUUCAGAUUGAGGCCUGCCCCAGCUCGGCAUCGCCCUCCACCUUCCCAAAGUCACCCAGCACCCUGCACCCCUCACACCCACCCCCGUCCUCAACUGAGCUCUGCUUGGACGGCCAGUGAGGGCAUCGAGGGUGGGGCACCUGCAAGGGGCGAAAGGGGGAACUUCUUAGGGCCACAGGCUCUGAGGACAGGUAGCCUCUGUCCUGAGGCUGCUGCCACACCCUCUGGCACCCUGUGACGCCCUCGGGAGCUCUCCUCUCCCCCACCCAUAGAUGAAAUGGGCCUGGCCUGGAGGAGGCAGGACUCAAGUGCAGACCUGAGCUUAGAUGUGGGAGUGCACAGGCAGAGGCAGGGCAUGGGGAGUGGGCAGGAGGCCACUGGCCUGGCCAGGUGUGGAUGACACGGCUGUGGAGACUGGGGGUGCAGCGGAGCAGCGCCCACCCCGACCCCACCAGGCUGAGAGGCUCCUGGGACUCCCGCCAGCUCUCCUCCAGGCCUCUGUGCCUUUGCAUGUGCUAUGCCCUCUUCCCUGGGGAGGCCAGUGAGCCUGUGCUGUGGCUUUGUUACCUGGAUCGUGGCUCCUCCCCAGGAUCCUGUCAAAACACUGGUGUCCAAAUGUCCUGCCUCCCCCUGCCCACAUCUACAGAUGUGGAGCCUCGGCUCCAGGGGAGGCCCCACCAGGAGAAGACAAGGUGCCUGGUGUUGGGGCCCCCUCUCACCCCCCAUAGGCGAGAGAGGUAUUCGUUCUCUAUUGCUACACAAGAAAUCACCCCCCAAACUUAGCCACUUAAAAGAGUAAGCAUUUAUUACUCGCCCUGUGUCUCCGGGUCAGGAAUCUGGGGGCACCUGGGCUGGGUGGUCAAGGUUUCAGGAGGACCCGCUUCCAGGAUGUGGCUGUUGGCAGGGGAUCUCAGGUCCUCUGCAGAUAGGCCUCUUGGGAGGGCUGCGGAGUGUCUUACACCAUGGCAGCUGGCCUCCCCUGAGUGAGUGGUCCAAGACAGCCAGGGAGCUUUGCGGACCCAGUCCUGGAAAUCCAGCAUCAUCCCUCCUGCAGCUUCCACUGU